GAGGUGUGCCCAGGAUUUUUGGCUGAAAUUCUGUGGUGAUAUUCAGAAAGAAGCUGACACAAGUGAUAGCCAUGGAAUAUACAAAGGCAUCAAACAAGUAAUUGGUCCAGUCAAGAAGAAAACAGCUUCAUGGAAAGACUUAAAUGGAAAUGUCGUUACUGAUCAACAAAAACAACUCGAGCGUUGGAUUGAACAUAAUGGCAUUCUUUACUCCAGUGAGACUGAAAUCAAACAAGAAGAGCUCAAAGGAUUGUUACAGUUCAAAGUUAUGAUGGAUUUGGACAAUGAGCCUACAUUAAAAGAUUUGGAGAGAGCCAUUAAAUUGAUUCCUGGGAACAAGGCAUCCAGCAACGACUGCUGCAAUCUACAAAUGUGCCAACAAUGAAUUACUUUGAAAGCUCUAUGAAGUUCUACUGUUCUGUUGGAAAGAGGAAGGAGUACUGCAAGAUUUCAAAGAUGCUUGGUUUGUACAAUUACAUAAAAACAAAGGGAAUAGAAGUGACUGACAACCAUAGAGAUUUCUCUGUUGAACAUCAUUGGGAGAGUUGUCACUUGCAUUAUGCUCCCUAGGCUGCAAUCUCUAGGUGAAAGAAUCUAUCUUGAAAGUCAGUGCUCAGGUUUUUGCUCAGGAUGUUCGACCAUUGAUAAGAUUUUUUUGGUCAAGCAACUGCAAGAGAAGUGUAGAGAAAAACUAAUACCACUGUAUAUGGCUUUCAUUGAUCUGAUGAAGGCCUUCAAGACAGUAAACAGAACAGAGUCUUUUUACUGUUCUCAGGAAACUGGGUUGUUCCCCAAAACUGUUGAACACCAUUUGUUUAUUACUUCAAGGUAUGAAGGUAACUGUUGUGCAUGAAAACAAAGAAUCAAAUACCUUGCCAUCAACAAUGGGGUGAAACAGGGAUGUGUUUUAGUCCCUAUGCUCUUUAAUAUCUACUUUUCAUUCCUGCUUCUUCAUGCAUUCAAGGACAGCAACGAUAACAUUAUUUAUCUUUGAACCAGAGUAACUGGAGGUUUGUUCAACCUUGCAAGGUGUAGAGCAAAAACCAAGGUGAAAAAACUGGUUCUGAGAGAUUUGUAGUUUGUGGAUGACAUUGUCUUGAUUGCCCACAGUGAAUUUUCCCUGCAUAAUCUCUUGAGCAGAUUUUCUGAAUCAUGCAAAAUGUUUGACAUGGCAACUAGUCCCAAGAAGACUGUGAUCUCGUACCAAGGGGUGGAAGAACCAAUAUUUGACAUCACUCUGAAAGAUAAAUCUUUUGGUGACAUUUGCAGUUUUUUCUGCUUGGGUUCAACAAAGAGCAGGAAUCUUGAACUUCAGACUAAACCAAUGGAACUGGAAAAGCAGCUAAGAAUUUUGGGCUAUUACAGACAUGUGCAUGGAAUAACAGCAAACUAUUGAGUAAAGUGAAGCUGUGAAUCUAUGAGACUUGUGUGCUGUCAUCUCUGCUUUAUGGUUCUGAAACAUGGACUACGUACGCUAGGCGUAUCAAGAGAGUGAACAGCUUCCACAUAAGAAGUCUGCGUAAAAUCCUGAAAAUAAAGUGGGAAGACAGAAUACUAAACACAGUGGUACUGGAGCAUGCAGGACUGACACACCAUCAAGAAGAAGAGGUUGUGAUGGAUUGGUCAUGUCAGGAGAAUGGGAGGAGACCUUUUUCCUAAGAAUAUUUUGUAUAGCAAGAUUAGAGUUAGCUCUAGAAAGCAGAGUAAUCCUCUAUGGUGGUAUUGACACGUGCAAAAAUUAUGUGAAGUGCUUCAACAUCAACAUAGAAAGCUAGGAGGAGUGUGCAGAAUCGUGUCCAAUCUGGAGGAAACAUCUGGUACUGGGUGCAGUUCAGUAUGAAGUGGUUUUGAUCCAGAGGAUAGAAGCAAAGCAAAAAAUAAAUAAAGCAGCAUUGAAGUAAACUCAGACUCCAACUCAAACAACAUACAGAUCUUGUAACAAGCAGUGUCACUCUUGAAUUGGGCUUGUCAGCCACAAACAGAUUCAUUGGCAUCUGACUAGACCUCUUAUGUGUACACCAUGAUCCAGAGGAUCAACAGUUGCCUGCAUGUCAUCAUACUUCUAUGUUACAGAGUCUGCAUUGUUAGUGUGCUUGUGUUUCUGUUGUGUGUUUCCAUCCUCUUGCUACUAAUUUCAUUUAUAUGUACUCAGGAUAUGUACAAAGAGAUCAACACCAAAGACAGAUAUAAGAUCAAGGAAUAAAACAGAACUAGCCCUUUAAAUAUUGUACGCAGUUGGUGGUCCUGAUGGACAAGGUAAAAAAAAAAUUUCUGCUAGAAUUAAACUUGGUAUAAAACCCAACCUAUCCCUGUAGGUUACUAAAGAUCAACUCUGACAAUAUAAAGAUGAGCUAAAACAAUUUUCAAGGUGUCAAGCUGUCUUUAUGGAUGUGUGGCAGGGUACCUUGUUGCCUGCCACUUUAACGGCAGCAAACAGGCAGCAGCCAGGUGCCUGAUGAGGGCAGCCAUUUUGGACCUAGAGAUAUAAGCUGGGCUACAGUUUGCUGCAGGAAGGAAGAAGGAAACAUCAGGCUGAGAGGCUGCUCUGACCAGAGUUAGGAGGAAAGCGAAGUGGAUGGUUACCCCAGGAGCAGGGCAGCCAGAAAAGACCUGAUGAGGAGGCCACCCUAUUACACAGUUUCAAGGUAGCAGAUUCAAUCAAGUUCAUCUAAUGUGACUGAAGACAUAUUUUUUCUAUUAAGACAAAACCAGAGGCUUUGUCAAGGAAACCUCUGAAUGUGCAGUGUAAAUAAAUUUCCUUCCAGAUUCAUUUACAGGCCCAGAUUCCACACCCCAUAAUUAUAUGGAGAACUUUCUUCUGCAACCAGUCCCACUGACACCAGCAAAUACUGUUUAUGUCCAUGAGCUAUGAACCACUGCAGUUUGUGGGAUUGUGCUGAUAUAAAGCAUGGUUCUCCGAUGUGCUGAUCAGCCCUCAAUUCCUAUUGACUUUAAGUGGGACUUGGGUCCCUCAGUGGCACAAAAAUCUGACCAGGAUUAGGCUUACUGUUCUUCAUAUGAUUUCUCUCAUUGUGUUUUCUAAUUUAAAAUUUGUAAGGCACCCUGUGUAAUGUUUAUCUUACAACUGAUGUUCACACAUCACCCAAUAAAGGCAUCACUUUAAGAACAACACCUGCGUUACUCUAGAGGCAGAAUUCCUAUUAAUGCCAGUGAGCUGUGGGUGGGACUUCCACAAGUGGAUAUGCAGGCUCGAUGUGGUUUUGAAUUAGUAUUUGGCUGGCUUAUGAUCUUUUUACUAAUGACAUGCACCUACCUACCUACCUCCUAACACACUGGCAUGACUUCUUAGAGCUGGGUCUUUCAUACCCUCAAAAUACACUAAUUACUAGUGCACGCUGUCUUAAUAUUUUGUGUGACUUUAGUGCCUGUGGAAGAUGCCAGGCUGACAGGCAGGGGGGUUUAAGUCCCCACUUUAUCUACAGAGAAAUAUCUGCUGUUUGGUUUUGAGCAAGCAUUAUUUGCACAUCUUAAACUUCAAUGAAAUCAGUAUCCAUGCAUGGCAGCUAACGUUUUGAGGAAACAAUGUGCUAGAUUCUGCAGUGUGUGUUUGUUUGUUUGCAUUUAAGAUGAGAAAAGUGCAACUUCAUUAAAUUAAAUUUAUUUUAUAACAAUCAAAUGAUUUAGAUAAUAAACAGGGCAACGAAAGAAAAUGUUGAAUUUUAAUAGCCAUAACCUGUAAGCAGUGCUUUAUCCUGCUGCUGCCGUUGUAAGGACCAGUAAUUGCAGCAGUCUAGACACAGGAACAGAUGCAAAGUAGAGCUUUAUUAUAUCAGACAUUUGCCCUACUACGAUACAGUCUAAUUGCCCAGAAAAUAUAUUUCUACAUUAAUUAUUUUAAUUUGAUUUGAACUAGACCAACUGUUGUAUUUUACUGAACUUUAUCAAGUAAUAAAAUAGAGCACUAAAUUUAAAUAGUUUCUGUUACCAAUCCUUUUGAGAAAAAACUAAACUAUUGAAACUCAAAAUUGUAUGCAGUUCUUCAACAGAUAAAUAUUUGUUCCUCUUCCUAAUUAAAUUGUAUUUAUUUUCUUCACCCGAGUAGCUACUAGAGAAAAAAAACAAUAGUAAGACUGAUUUAUGAUUUAGUGUCUGUAUUUAUGUUGUAUGAAAGUUGAGGUAUAACUGCAAAUUAUGUUUUCAUGAGUGGCACAUGGAGUUCACUUUGGCUAUUGAAAAUGUCCAUCCUUUAAAUCACAAAUGUGUUUUUUUUCCCAAUGUAUCUAGCUUUCUUUGUAGAAUCUUACUGCACCAUCCUAAAUUUGUUCAUAACCUAUAGCAUUCAUUGUGUGUAGAAGAGACUGUGAAUCAUCAAUAUCCUGGGGAUGGGCAAUCAAUGAAAAACAAACUUAACUCCCCAUUGUGAAUAAAAAAAAAAAAAAUCCAUUGAAAGGAUGUGAUUUUUGGUUGUGUA